AACUUACUUCCUCCGUCCAAAAAUACUUGUCAUCAAAAUGGAUGUAUCUAGAACUAAAAUACAUCUAGAUACAUCUAUUUCAAUGACAAGUAUUUCCGGACGGAGGGAGUAACAC
rnacentral:pre_miRNA from 1 species